rnacentral:tRNA from 1 species
UGAGAGCUGGUGAACUUGCGACACAAAUGAAUUUGAAUCAUUAAAAGGAAUUAACAAUUCCGCUUUCAA